AUUGAACGCUGGCGGCAUGCCUUACACAUGCAAGUCGAACGGCAGCACGGGGCAACCUGGUGGCGAGUGGCGAACGGGUGAGUAAUGCAUCGGAACGUGCCAUUGAGUGGGGGAUAACGUAGCGAAAGUUGCGCUAAUACCGCAUAUUCUGUGAGCAGGAAAGCAGGGGACCGCAAGGCCUUGCGCUCUUUGAGCGGCCGAUGUCAGAUUAGCUAGUUGGUGAGGUAACGGCUUACCAAGGCGACGAUCUGUAGCGGGUCUGAGAGGAUGAUCCGCCACACUGGAACUGAGACACGGUCCAGACUCCUACGGGAGGCAGCAGUGGGGAAUUUUGGACAAUGGGCGCAAGCCUGAUCCAGCCAUGCCGCGUGAGUGAAGAAGGCCUUCGGGUUG
rnacentral:rRNA from 1 species